rnacentral:rRNA from 1 species
UGGGGAAUUUUCCGCAAUGGGCGAAAGCCUGACGGAGCAAUACCGCGUGAGGGAGGAAGGCUUUUGGGUUGUAAACCUCUUUUCUUAGGGAAGAAGAAAGUGACGGUACCUAAGGAAUCAGCACCGGCUAACUCUGUGCCAGCAGCCGCGGUAAUACAGAGGGUGCAAACGUUGCUCGGAAUGACUGGGCGUAAAGCGCGCGCAGGUGGCCCGUUAAGUUGGCUGUGAAAUCCCCUGGCUCAACCAGGGAAGUGCAGUCGAUACUGGCGGGCUCGAGUCCCGGAGAGGGUGGUAGAAUUCCCAGUGUAGAGGUGAAAUUCGUAGAUAUUGGGAGGAAUACCGGUGGCGAAGGCGACCGCCUGGACGGGUACUGACACUGAGGCGCGAAAGCGUGGGGAGCGAAUGGGAUUAGAUACCCCCGUAGUCC